AGUGAACGCUGGCGGUAGGCCUAACACAUGCAAGUCGAACGGCAGCACAGUAAGAGCUUGCUCUUACGGGUGGCGAGUGGCGGACGGGUGAGGAAUACAUCGGAAUCUACUUUUUCGUGGGGGAUAACGUAGGGAAACUUACGCUAAUACCGCAUACGACCUACGGGUGAAAGCAGGGGAUCUUCGGACCUUGCGCGAUUGAAUGAGCCGAUGUCGGAUUAGCUAGUUGGCGGGGUAAAGGCCCACCAAGGCGACGAUCCGUAGCUGGUCUGAGAGGAUGAUCGGCCACACUGGAAGUGAGACACGGUCCAGACUCCUACGGGAGGCAGCAGUGGGGAAUAUUGGACAAUGGGCGCAAGCCUGAUCCAGCCAUACCGCGUGGGUGAAGAAGGCCUUCGGGUUGUAAAGCCCUUUUGUUGGGAAAGAAAAGCAGCAGGUUAAUACCCCGCUGUUCUGACGGUACCCAAAGAAUAAGCACCGGCUAACUUCGUG
rnacentral:rRNA from 1 species